rnacentral:rRNA from 1 species
UACGAAGGGUGCAAGCGUUAUCCGGAUUUACUGGGCGUAAAGGGCGCGUAGGCGGCCCUCCUUGUCGCGUGUGAAAGCCCCGGGCUCAACCUGGGAACGGCGCGCGAGACGGGGGGGCUGGAGUUCGGGAGAGGAGCGUGGAAUUCCCAGUGUAGAGGUGAAAUUCGUAGAUAUUGGGAAGAACACCGGUGGCGAAGGCGGCGCUCUGGACCGAGACUGACGCUGAGGCGCGAAAGCGUGGGGAGCAAACAGG